rnacentral:rRNA from 1 species
GGGGAAUAUUGGACAAUGGGGGCAACCCUGAUCCAGCAAUGCCGCGUGUGUGAAGAAGGUCUUCGGAUUGUAAAGCACUUUCGACGGGGACGAUGAUGACGGUACCCGUAGAAGAAGCCCCGGCUAACUUCGUGCCAGCAGCCGCGGUAAUACGAAGGGGGCUAGCGUUGCUCGGAAUGACUGGGCGUAAAGGGCGUGUAGGCGGUUUACACAGUCAGAUGUGAAAUCCCCGGGCUUAACCUGGG